AAUAUAUUGUGAAAAAUGUAUUGGUAGUUCCUCCACUGGACUUUUUUCGAAAAUAACCCUCUGAAAUUUUGUAAUUGGCAAAAUAAUCCUCUGAAAUUUUAUUUGUGAAACUAACUCUCCUUUCGCCACGUCGGCACCAGGUCGGAUUUUUCUCGUAAAGACGGUGAAUCGUUCACCGUCUAUGCGCAUUCCUCAUGAAGACGGUAGAUGGUUCAUCGCCUUCAUGAGACGGUGAACU
rnacentral:lncRNA from 1 species